GUGUGUGUGUGUGUGUAUUUACUUACUCCUUGCCCAGAUCAUAACAGGCAACAUCUAACUGCUGGCAUCACCUAAGCAACAGUUUUUCCUUACAAAUUCUUGCUCAUAGCUGAGCUGGAAUAACUGCAGAGUAGCUACUAUGCGACUAGGUAAAUUAUUGCAGAGAUUAAUUACUCUAGUUAAAACAUACACCUUGUUUCUGGUGCAUAGUUCAUUAGCUUCUGUCUCCAACCUAUGCAUCUUACUGUGCCUUUGUCUUCUGCAUUGAAGACGUCUACUCAUCAUGAGUAGAGUCAUAGAACGAUAGAAUCGUUUGAGUUGGAAGGGAGAUUUGAAGGCCAUCUGGUCCAGUGCCCCUGCAAUGAACAGGGACAUCUUCAGCUCUUAUUUAGUCUCUGUAGAUUCUUUCUAACCAUAUUUAAAUUUCUUUGAAGCACAAAGCAAAAAUCUCUUUAAGUAGUUUUGCUGUAGGUUGGUACACCAUGUGAGUUGAUAGCAAUCCUCUGCUUGGUUUAACUUCCAGAAAGUCUUCAUACUAACAUCUCAUUUUCCUCUAAUAUCUACCUAUAGACUGUCUAUAUGUGUGUGUGUGUGUGUGUGUGUUUGUAUGUGUUUCUGUGUGUGUAUACACAUAUACAUGUAUAUUCGUAUAUAUGUAUGUAUAUAUGUAAGAACUAAAUAGCACAGGAAGUAUAAUUCAAUCUUGAAAUAAUUUGUUGCUCCAACUGUUGGAUUUUUUUUUCCUGAUUGACAUUCAAAAUAUUUCAACUCUUUUUUUUUUUUUUAAAUAUUGUCUGCAUAUUAUACACAAUAACACAAUAGGUUUCUAGUUUGUAUUCAGCCGGUAAGAGGUUCAAUAAAUCAGAAAACAACUGCUCUGUUUGAAGGAAGUUUUCUCUCCAUCUUUGGUAAAGUACAAGAGAAUUCUGUUUAAAUGAAGCAUGCAAUUUUAAUCAGUUGUACCCUAAAAAAAAAAAAUAAGACAAACAGCUGCUGCUUGUUAAUUACUGAAUGUCUUCACCAAUGGACUCAUCAUUUAUUCGCUGCUUUCAGUGCAGCCUUAAAUUCUGUGAAUAAAGGUGCUAUUGCCAUGCUGUGUGGCUGCUUGUGCAUUUGCAACAAAGCAGCUCAGAUAAUACGUGGAGAAUUUAUUUCAAAAGACAAUUACGUGACCUUCACCCUCACAGACUCACUGUUUUCAUCUAAUGAUCAGGUUUCCUGUGAAAGGUCAGAUUUUAUGAAACCAAGAGGAAAGCACAUUUAAUAUCCCUAGCUGAAAGCUGAAUUUCUUGGUAAUAAUUAUACCAAGCUGUGAAGAUUUCCCACUGUAAAAGCUUCUCAUGUAGAACCAUGGGUCCAUGUGGACUGGGAGGGACCUUCAGGCCACCCAGCCCAGCCUUCUGUGCAGAGCGUAUCCAGGCGGAGCAGGUUGCUCAAGGUUGUUCCCUUGACCUCUGAAGCUCUCUGAGGACGGAGAUGCCACAGAUCACCCCCUCUGCCCACAAGAAGUCCCAUCUGCUGCAGCCCUUGGCAAGCUUGGUGAACUUCUACAAGGCUCACUGCAGUGUGUCAAGGUACUCGUAAUUAAUUUACUUUCUCAGCCCUCAUGUCUUUAAUCACCAGUUUUGUACCCAUCCCUUACUUUGGAUUUUGAAAUGAAUUGCCUCUGAGUCCACACUGCUGACUCUGGGAACUGGAUGGCUCCCUGGGUGACCUCUAUAAGGAAAUUUUUCAGAGAUCUUUCAAGGAAAGUAUUAGACUUGAAAGUCAUUUUUAAGCUCAGAUAACUUAGUAUAAAUAGGAAAACCACAGUAGCGAGCAGAAGUAGGUAGCGAUCGUUGUGCCUUAUUGUCCAGUUAGGCUAUGUCAGUGAUUUGAGACUGUGAAAUGCAGUUUGGUUCAACUUGUUAUCUACUAACUUGGUAUGUUACUGCCCACCUUUCAUAUUAGAAAUCAAGAAGGAAAAGGGAUAUAAGUGUUCUCUACUUGUAAUUUGUCUGACCCUGCCUUCACCUUCAAAUCUAUUGUUUGUGUCCCAUUCAGUCAGCACAUGCCUUUUCCAUCUUGAGCCUUUUCUUCUCCACAGCUCUUCAUCUCAUCAAACCUAUUUCCCACAAGUUGUCUAUUACUUCCAUUGACAGCUCCUCUUUUGGGCUGGGAUGUUGUCCUGCUGCCCCUUUCUGACCACUGUGUGCUGAGGGCUGCCCAGGAGCGCUCCCUUGGCUUCUGAUGGAGAUGUCUAAACAUGAAAUAGAAGAGUUCAAGAGGGUUGGUGCUUAAGGUUUCAGAAAAACACAGUUUAUCCUUGUGACAUAUUUUCACAUUCACUUCAGGGGAAGCGUAGUACAGUCAAAUAUAAAGCUUCAAUUCAACUGGACAACAUUUUGUCUUCAUUUCUUUUUCCUUUUGUCUCCCUUCCUUUUCUCUUGCUCCCCAUUGCAAGUAAUUUUGGCACUAAGCAGUACCUCUGUGCUCUGUUGUUGCGUUCUUAUCUUCGGUUUGCCCUUGCCUCUAGGUUUGUUCUUCAGAUUUUGGAUUUGCAGCCGUUAUUUAUCUUUUUAUUGUCUUUAUUUCUCCUCUUCAGGCAAGGAGAGGCACUUGUGGGCCUCUGCAGGUGACUCUGGGAUUAUGCCAGUGUUGGGUGUUUACCUGAAAGGUACCUGCUUUGGCUUGCCUGGCUAGUAAACACUGAUAACUAUAAAACAAAAAAUCCAAAUGUACUGUCCAGUUUGGUUCAGUAAGACGAAGUUACAAUUAAUUGUCAAUUUUCAGGGUGCAAGCACUUUAUUUGGUCAUCUGUUGUCUUUUUUAGAGUAUUUUAAGAGGUGCUGAAGUCAUUUGAAAGUCACUGUAGAAGACCAUACGUGAAGCAUUUUCUCAUAUUUGUAGUACAAGCCCUUAGUGAAAAUUUGAAUGCUGUACGACAUGAAGGACUGCUGACUGAUCACUGCGAUAUAGGAGAACCAGUGAAUAGAAAAGAGCUCCUUCAGCUGUUGGUGUGAAUGAUGAGUUGGCAACCUGCAACACUUUGCAGAGAGGACAGGAAACGCUCAGGUCUAAUGUAGCAGUCUUCUAGGUCCUUCCAACCUGGCUGGAGCUGCCCCACUUCACAGUGAAGUUGCUUGGCUUUGGCUUGUAGGCUGUUGGGAGAGAACGAUGAUUUCCAGGCAGACAAGAGCCUCGUGGUAGGUAAGUCCCUGAGAUCACAAGGUUCUUCUUGGGAAGCUGGAGGUCUGCAGGUCCUGCAGCUCCUGCUGGCUGCAGGUGGAGGACAUUGUCUAGUUACUGAAUGGAUAAUUAAUGGUGGCUGUAAGGUAGGUGUUAUCUGCGCAUUUUGCAUUGUCCUGAAUGAAACGAGGUUAGUCUUUUACAUUUGUGUUGGAAUCAUAGAAUCGUAGAAUGGCCUGGGUUGAAAAGGACCUCAAAUAUCAUCCAGUUUCAACCCCCCUGCCACAGGCAGGGUUACCAACCUCUAGACCAGGUUGCCCAGAGCCACAUCCAGUGUGGCCUUGAAUGUCCUGCAACGGUAUGUUUCUGAAUCCUGUGGAUAAAAUAGUGUUGCUGCCUAUUGGAUGCUAACUUGCCUGAAAGAACAGUGACAGUGAUGUGGCUCCAGAAAACUAAAAAGAUGUGAAAAUGUCUGAAAAAUAGGGAUUUUUAUGAAGCCUGCUAACAUUAUAGGAACAAACAGAAUAACCUCUAAGACAGUGAUGCCCUUCACUGCAGUGGUUCUGUAAUUAGACCUCUCCUCUUUAGCUGUAUUUCAUUAAUGGGAAAAAUAAUAGUUCUUUAAUAGGGAUUGGGGGAUAAGGGAAUUUGUUAUAUUAGCUGCUGAUAAAGGAUUUGAGAGGGGACCUGACACUAGAGCUUUUAUUGGUUUAAUAGAAAUAUAUUUUCUUUUACCUGUGGGCUUCUAUGAAACAAGAGGCAGGCAGAAUUGCCUUGUUUUGGUUUCACAUCAGAGACACAAACAUGCAUAAGUGAACCAAAUUGGACAUAUUUAGUAAUGGCUCAAUAAAUAUUAGCAAAUGGGUGGCACAAUUUAAUCAGCAUGGUUGCAGUUGAUAAGGUGCUGAAAAGCUCCGGUUGAGACUGCUGGGAGGCUAAAUGAAAAGCUGAAGAUUCAGAGAUAAGGAUUGAUGGACAUAAUGUUAUUAUAAUUGGGAAUAGCAGAGAACGUAAAGCACUGAGAAAUUAAAUUGAUGACCUGUAAAACAAGCUUAGAUGAAGAAAAAGUCAGAUUGAUAGAAGCUUCUGCAGGAAUGCAGGCAGAACACGGGGCAAGAGAAGACAGAGUGUGUUGGGUAAGCUUAAAUUUUGCCCAACUGCUUUCUUAAGUAGUCGGGAUAAUAUGGAUUUGGAAGUGUUGUAAUAGUGUAGGUGUCAAUCAAAAUCUCUGUUCUAUGGAGAUUUGGCAUUCCCUUGAGAGUACUGCAAACUCUAUUUAAGCUGCUGGAGAUGAAAUGCUGCAUUCUUUUCUUCUCUAUCACUUCACUCCUUUGGGACUUUUUUUUUUCCCUUUCAUGGUUGUCCCCUAGUAAACCAAAAAUCAGCAUUUCUUAUCCAACACGGUGUAAAUGCUCAUCUUCAGAUUUUUCAGGGAGUUAUUUCUUCAGCUCAAAUCAUGAGCACAGUUCUGGUGCAGCAAACUGUUCUGCUUUAGGAGCAAAGGAUAUCCAAAGUAUCAGAGUAUCCAGUAUUCCUUCAGAAAAGCAUAGUAGACUCCAAUUAACUUGAUUUAUCUUUGGGGGAAAAAAUGUGUUCAUCUUUUUGGCUUUCAGAAUGGGAAAAAGUCAUUUGCAACUUCACCAGAAAAACAAUUGGAUAUAAAUUACCUGGGGUCAUUCGAGACAAUUUCACUUCGCUCUGUCUGACAGUGACACUGAUGGGGAGGUGAAAUGAGUUCCCACUACUGAAUCCUUCUCAGGAAAUGGCACUAUUCAUUUUAAAGUAAAAACAUUAUUUCUUUUCUUUUAGCUUAGCCUAGUAUUAAAUAAUAUCUUAACCUCAUUUAGAAUAUUGUACUGUUGUGUAUAGAAUAUUUUUUCUGUGUAGCACACUCAUUCUAACUCAUAAGGCAACUCAUUAAAUCAAGGAAAUAAUAUUUUUUAUGUUGAGACAAUCUUAAUAGCAGGCCAUAAUGAUAGCAUGGAAAUGGAGAAAUGGUGAAUAACUGUUACAUAUGAAGAGUAGUUGUGUCGUUAUCAAAUUGCAUUAAAUUUGCACAGUGGGAAGGCAGCUUAGAAGGUCACAGAAGGACACGAAGCUUUGGGAACAGGAUGUCUAAAUGUUGAGUUGACUCAUCUAAAGCACCACUAUGUAUUUGCUGGUUUCCUUCAUGCUGUAGCAGAAAAUAAUGCUUAAUACCGUGUGUUCCCAUGUUGUGUUCUUUAUUUGCUCUCAGCUCUGCCUGUGUUUGCAGGACAGUCACUACAGCCAGUGGCUUUCUGAAUUAGGUGUUUGCAUGGGCUUAGUUGAUGUUGCACUUAGCACAUCCUAUCCUUUUUCUGUUCUGUUAAACAGAAGGAGAAUGCUCUUGCAAUAUCUUGCAUAUACAAACAGCAACAACAUGCCAGUGUAAAGCAUGUGAAAGCAAAGGCAAUCUGUUGCUUUUUUUGUUGUUGUUGUAGGUGAACUUGAAGCAGUGAGACCUUAUGUGAAAAAAAGAUGCCCUUUUCUCUUAGUGUGUUGUAUUCUUUUGAGGAAAACUCUUGCAUUUUCUUAAUUAUAUGGGUAAUUACAUAGGCAAAGCACCAAAUAUAAUUAAACAUGUGCUUCUGGAGAGAGAAUACUUAAUAAUAAACAGACAGCUCAGCUAUUGAAUUCUCAGAUUGUGUUUGCUUAAAGUAACUUCAACUGGAAGAUCCCACAAGAAAUGUGUACCUUAGUUACAACACACAACAUUGGUGAAAACCAGAGCAAAGAUGGUGAGAAGCCAACUAAGGUUGGCUGAAGGGUUUGUUGUAAACGAAUGGCUCAUAGAAGCAGCAUGCUGGCAUUCCCACAGAGCCGCGCAGUCUGCCGUGGCAUAUUGAGCAUUAAAGUUCUUCACAGUUCUUACAACUGCACCUUUUCAAACUAAAGGGUGCUUUGUGUUUUCAGACACUCUUUUGCAAAUAGAAUGAUAUUCUGGCUUCAGGUGGGCCUAUUUUUUUUUCUUCUGAAGGGGGAGGAAAAAGAUGCUGGAAACAAAACAAAUCUUUGUUGAGAUGAUGCCAUUGGGAAUUCUACUUCUGAUCCAACUAAAUUCAAAGAGCUCAAAACUUGAUGUCAACGUGCUUUCUUUAUUUUAAUACUUCUCUCUGAAGGGGUUCUGUUGAAAGGGGCAGCUGCCUGCAAUGCAUGGGACAGCUUACAUCUCCGCAUAGGGUGUGGUACGCUUAUCUGGAAGAAUGGGCUAAUUGAAGCUAAGCAAAAAGCCACAUUUCUGUUUGGAGAAGCUCUUAAAAUAUACUGUGGAAUUGGGAAAAAAAAAUCUUGCUACUGUGAUAAUUGAUAGCGUUAAAAACCUAUGAAUACUGAAACUGAGAGAUUUGAUGGGGAGGAAGAGGGUAAACAUGCAAUUUUCUUUUUGUUUGCUGCAUCUUUAUUCAUUUUUCUGUUGUGGUGUUUUGUACUUACUGUUCUAUUCAUUAGCAUAAUGGCAGCAUUGUUGUGUGCUUUAGGGACAGCACAUUGUGUUCUCUGGAACAGGGACUGUCUGGAUCAGGAAUGCUGUGUCUCCUGCUGGGAGGAGACUGAAAUAUGCCUAUGGAGGAGGAGACAUUGGCACAUUCUGUUCAGCUCUUGCCCAAGAAGAGAAAUGGAUCACCUCAGAAACCUGAGGGCUUGGAGGUUGUUGUUGUUUUUGAAGGUAAUAGAAGAAAUGGAAGAAGUUUACUGAACACAGAGAUAGAUGAAUGCAUUAUAACAGGGCUUAAAGCCUAUGCUGACAGUGCUAGAAACCAGAUGCUAUGGGUCCAUGCGUGGAGCGGCCAUCACAGAGCAGCAAAUGUUGAAUUGCGCAUAUUGGUUCAUCUGUGGUGAUUUGUUUGCUUGCACUGCCUGUAAGAAUAUGAAACCGUUCAUCUGGUUUUCACAACAGAGUUUUACAUCUGCGUGUCUCAUCAGGAAGACACUAAUUUAGUAUGAAAAGAUGCUAUUCAGCUCCUGCUCACAUCCUAUGGGAAAAUCUGCACCUAACAAAGGAGACAUUUUGAUAGCUUGGCUUUGCUUGCUUUCUUUUUGGCCUGUAGUAUUUUGUGCUUGAAUAUGUGUAAGUAUAAUUGCAUAUUUGCUACUCGCAAGGAUUCCAGAUUAUAUUGCUAUUUUAUAUGUUCCUUCUCCUUGCUUUUCCUCUUAGAAAACCACCUUGCGUUGUGUCAGUAACUACCUGUUGUUGGUUCCAGGGCAUGGCGGUUAUUUUUACAGGAUGUUUGGUUUUGUUUGUCUGUGUUUCAAACAGAGAACUGGGAUUUCUCUUCCCAAAAAUCAGAACUCUGGGGUGUUGGCCAUGUAUAACAUAAGACAGUAAUUCCUUUAGGUAAUAUGCAAGUGUAAUCACAUACUGUUAACUGAAUAUCUAAGCUUAUUUUAGAAAAGCAUUAACAGUUAAAAUAUUGGACAGAUACUUUCUAGGUGGUGAUCAGCCUUUAGGAGCUAAUUCUCAGCAUGUUUAAAUGCAUCUACUUUUUUGGAUUGCUCUUUCUUUGAGAAAGAUUGAGUAUUAAAGAAGGCAGGAGGCAUUUUUUGGUCACUGCCCCCAGGCAGCUCCACUUCAGGAGCUGAGGAUGUCCCAUCCCACCCAGCCCUUGGCCAAUGGAUGGCCUUUGCCAUCUCCUUCCAGCAGCAGAGGUGGCACUUGGCACGGUGUGUUCUGCUCUCCAUUGACUUGGGAAUACAGCACAGGUAUGUAUAAGACACAAGUCAAUGAGAACAUCCAGGCAUUUUAACCUAAAAACCACACUACUGCUCCUACUGGGGCCACCUAGCAAUGUUCUCUGUGUUGGUUCUCUUCUGUCUUUCUCUAUAUGUGGAAAAGUGUUUAUUGUUUCUUUAGUGGGGAAGAAUCCAUCUUCUUUGCAGCAUCCCUAGAGAAACCUGUGAGCUGUGUUCCACGUUGGAUUCAGAGGUGAGAUGGCUGCUUGCGAUUAUAGGAUGCAUGUAAGGACACUUCCAAUUCUGCACCUGUAGGACUGCAUAGGAGUUUAAAACUCAAGUUUCAGCAUACAUGAAACAACGGUGUUCAGCAGUGCUACUGAGAAGGUACCAAAGAGAUCAGACGUAGCGUUGGCACAUACCAAAGAGAUGAAAUUCUGUCUCCAUGUCUUCAGCUAACCAAAGGUCACAGAAUCACACAGGAGUCACAGAAUUGCAGGGGGUUGUGAGGGACCUCUGGAGAUCAUCUAGUCCAACUACAAGUACUUGUAGGAAUAUGAAGAAUAUUGGGAGUUCCCCUCCACGGUUCCAUGAGGUCCUCUCUGGCGACCUGGGAGUCCCUGUAGGGUCUCCAUCAUGCAGGCAUAAAGAUGCCCCCCUAAGCUGAUGGUUACCCCAGCAUAACGGUAAGAUGCAGCACCAUCAACACUGAAGUUUUAUGAAUUCAGAAUGAUAAGUUACAGUAAAUUAAAAUCCCUUCACAGGAGAGGACAGAGAAUUUUCAGAGCUUUUUGCAGAAACAAACAGAUCAUUAGAAAAUCAAGGUUAAUAAGGCGUAUCUUGACAUGAUUAACAUUUUCGUAAUAUAAACCAGCUUUCAGAAGGCUUUGCUCUUACUAGUUGAUUUUUCAUUCUGUGUCACCAUACCAUUCAACUCAUCAGUAUGUUUUUACUUUUGGAAAUACUUUUUUCAAAUAUCUUAAUUCAAAUGCAUAUUUUAGCUUUGCUGGGCCCACACAGAAACUGUCUUUUUUGAAAUGUUAAUGGAAACUCUUCUUGAAGGAAGGUUAGACAAAAUUUCUUUGAAGAUGACAAAAUUCCUUUUUAUCACAGACUGUUAAUUAAGAGCAAGAUAAUUACUAACUGAUAAAUAUUCCUUUGUUAAAUAAAAAUAAUUUCACUUCCAUUAGUUCAUAUAAGGGACACUGAAAAUUGAAAUACAUAAGAAAAAAGUACUGCAAUGACUUUGACUGAUGUAUUAUCAUUCCUUGGAGACUUUCAAGGCAAGGCUGGAUCAGGCCUGGGCAUCCUGAUGUAGCUGUGGGUGUCCCUGUUCACUGCAGGGGAGCUGGACUAGACGACCUUUAAAGGUUCUUUCCAACUCCAAGGACUCAAUGAUUCUAUUCUAUAAUUACAAAGAAUCAGAGAUCUCAAAGGCAUUACAUAAAAUCAUUUCUUGUCCAGUGUUCAUUGACUGAAAAAAGAAAUAAAGGGUUCUAUGCUUACUCCACGUCCAUGGCACUUUGUUGCACACUUAUGCACACCAAAAACACUUGUAUUCUGGCACCGGCGAUUAAGGCAAAUCUGCAAAAUAAGAAAAGAGGAAUUUUAUUAGGAGCAGAACAGGUGGUGGUCGUCAAAGAAACCACCAAAGAAACCUUAAGGCUGGAAAAGACCACCAGGAUCCGCAAACCCAACCCCAGCCCACAUCCCUCAGUAUAUCACAUCCCUGCAGUUCUGGAACACCUCCAGGGAUGGUGACCCCACCACUCCUGGGCAGCCGUGCCAGUGCCAGACCACUCUUUCUGAGAAGAAGCUUUUCCUAAUAACCAACCUAAACUGUGCGCUGCGUCCCCUCUCCAGCUCUAUGUAUCUGUUCAUCUGCCAAUGGCUGCUUUAGCACUUACAGAAGUUCCCCAGCACACAUGCUGUACUGACAGCCUUCCAUCGAUGAAAAGAUAAGGACAUCAACCUUAGGCAUUUUCUUCUCUAUAAGCUUUUCUAAGCCAACUAGGUCAAACUCAGUGAGAUUUGUAUAUUACUCUUGGUUAGCACCGUGGCCAAUACUGAGUUUUGACAUCAUAGCUCACAUACGGUUUUCUUUCGACACCAAUUAAAAACCUCCAGCUAUUUGCCUUUUUUUUUCAGGACUACGAAUGUGAAUGCAUUAAGUAGGAUUUGAUUCAGGUCCCCUUGUGGUGUAAAACUGCAUAGCUCUGUUCAUACCAAUGGCACAGUACUCACAUGUGCCAGUACAGAAUGUGGACCCAGGACUGCCUGAAUAUCCACCUGACCUCACUGAUACAUAUGGGCUCAUUAUUGUCCUUCAGCAGAACCGAGACCUUUCUGACAGUUAUCCCAAGCUAAACAAACUUUGGUGUCAAAUAUAAAACAGCCAUGCAUAAAGUAUAAUAACAACCUUCUAGGAAAUGGAAGUAAACAAACAGUGUGUGUGAAGUAUUCAGAUGCACAAUUUUUUUUGUUUUCCAAUCUGGAAAAUGUUACUCUGUCAAUGUAGAUGAAAACUGGGGCAAAGCAAGAUUAGCAUCAUCAAAUAACACCACUGAGCAGACAGAUGACUGAUGAGGAUGUCAGUAAUGGGAAGUUAUCCUACUCAAAACUGUAAGCAAAGAAGAAAUUAGGACUGGAAUGACUGUUACUAUCCUGUAUCGACUAAAAGUAAAAGAUUAAAAUAAAAUAAAAAUGACUUCACAAUUUUGUUCCUCUUUAACUGCAGCUCAGCUCAGUAGUACUAAAAGUCAGUCACAAUAAUUAGCAUUAAGCAGGGAAAAGUGUUGAAGGAGACGACAGGGAUGCUUAAUCAGGGCACUUAUCCCCUGGGGAGAAGGAAAAAUGGAAAAGAAAUUAGAGUGAAUUGGCAUCAACAUGCAGGCAUGUAGAGAAUAUGGUCUGAUUACAGCAGCAUUCACCAUUCAAGUAUUCAGAGUGCAGCAGCACACAGAAUUCUGAUCACAUAAAAAUGGCUGCAUUGCAAAUGGUGCAUCUUCAGCUUAGAAAACUCAAGAAUAUUUAAAUUCAUAUUCUUAAUCCAUAAUACAAAUGCACUAAUGUCCUCAGAGUAAAACAUACAAUUUCGUAAGUAUUAGCCUGUGCAUUCUAUGGUGUGUAUGUGUAUGAUUAGACAGAUUAGAAAGAUUAAAUACUCAUUAGUAAAACAUAAUGGGGUGCUUUCCCAGCAUUGAAUUUUCUUUGAAGAAAAGUUCUGUACCAGACUGACUUAGAAAUGUUGUGUAAGGGUUGUUUUCCUGCAAUAGAGCUGGAGUUGCAUGAGGGAUGUGCACUCGAAGCAGUGCGGUGCUCCAACAUUACUCAUAAACAUUCAGAAAUUCAGUGGCUUAAUUGAAUCUACCACAGAUUAUCAAAGCACUUUUUUUCCUCUCUGCCAUUGGGGGUGAAGAAACAUUCUCCAUUUCAAUGGCUCCUGGACUCUGUUCCAUUUCUCUCCCUGUUAAAUGUCUGUCUCCGACCUUUCAUAAGAUCGUAGAAUGGUUUGGGUUCUUUCUCUGUUCCUUUUCUCUACAAGUAAACCCUCUGAAUGUGCCAUAUGAAAUUUGCCCUGCAUUCACACCAGGUAACUCACAACGUUUGCAGAAUAUGAUUGCAAAAAUCAGUUUUGAAGGCUGAACAAAAAUGGAUUAGUAUCUUUAAAACAGUGUACAGAGACAGAUUUUCAUCCAAAAGGGGUGGGGGAAGGGGAGGCUAAUCAGCAGAGUUGGAGUCUGAAGUGGCGUUAAUGACAAUUCUGCAAUGCCACGGACAUUAAGAAAGUUGGCAUCACUGGUAGAAAAUAAGCAUGAAAGUAGAAGCUUAACUGCAGUACUUCCAAGGUGAAUACCCUGAGCUCCUCAGAAGUUCAUAACGUACUUUGCAAGAAACCUCUAACCUAACUGGACAGAUACUCGGGGCUGUUCUAAAGAAAAGCAGUUAUAAACUUAAGCAGCUUGCAGUGCAUCUGUAAAUCUGUAAUCCAGAAGAGCAGUCAGAAGAAGAGCACGCCUAACGCAGUGAGAACUGGAGAAACAAUAAGAGCCCACCAAUACUUUUGUGAAGAAUUAAGAUGCAGUUCCAAAGCAAACCCCGUCAAUUCAGUACAGAAUACUUUGCAUCGUGAGGGCAGUGAUGUUCUCCUUGUCCAAGAGUAUUUCAGGUCCUUACCUUUCCAUCUUCACACUUGGUUCCUGACAGCACGAGACCAGGGUCAGGCAUGUCAUCCCCCAGAUACACGUGGGUGCCACGACACAGGAUCUUCCCACCUUCCUGAAGCGGGAUAUUGGUUUCUAUGGAAACAGCAUUGGUACCAAUUACAGGUCGAUUGGCUCCUCCUUGACACUGAAUUUUUCCACAUUUAGCAUCUCUGAAGGAAACAGACAAAACCAAACACGAGUUAAAUAUUUGUAGAUGGCACGAACCCACUCCCACCACCAUCACACCGGUUCCUGUGCUGGUGAGGAGAGGUCCUACCUGGGCUCACACUUGGCGAAAGAGCUCUUGGAGUCUUUGCCACAGUUGCCGUAUGGAUCACCUGCAGAGUUGACUCUCUCAAAGCAGAUCCCAGGAGCAGGUUUGGCACCUGAAACAAAACCUAAUCAGAACUUUCGUCUCAUAGGGGGUGUUUUUAAUCAUUUUCUUGGAGCUCCACCGACGUUUUAGGGGAAGGCGGGAUGCGAUCUGCAUGCUGAUGAAGAGCAGCAGAGCCCUUGUGCUGGAUCAGCAUGCUGAUGGAAGGCCCGGACACGUGUCUGUUCCACAGUUCUUUGUCUCUCUUGGCAGUGCUGAGCAGCACACAAUGCAGGACUCAUUCUCUUCCCAUGUUUCUAGAUGAUGGCCCUCUAGUGAAUCCUCCUAGGACACAAAAACUUUCAGCAAAUGCCAGAUCUAGUGAAGAAAGACACAGGCCAGCUGGUAAGUGAACUCCCUCCUUUUUUACAGGAGUCCGUGUGAUUCAAGCAACGGCCCAGGAGCUGAAGCCAAUGGAAAUACUUGUCAAGAAAAGCCUUUUUAACUGCAGCUCAGAACAAGAAGAAAACAGAAAAACUAUCUAGUUGCUAACAAGAGUUCUGUGUGGGCUGUAUGGCCAUAAAACCGUGACACUGGACGUGCCAGAUCGAGCUGAUGUGCUGGGGGGAAGGAAUCCAUGCCUGAGAGGAAAGACCAACCUAAAGGAAGGAUCUUUUCUGCCAUAGUGGUAGAACUAGGAGUCUGGGAAGACAGGCAGCAUAUGGUUCUUAUCUACUGCAGACUUUUGUAACAGAGACGUAUCCAAGCAGCAGAGGAACUUCCCUGAUGGGAGCAAUGCUAGAAAUGUUUGUGCAGACAGAUUAUUCAUGCCUACAUUUCAGAAGUCAAAAGGUGCCUAUUAGAACACAUACUCUAAUCUCUUAAGCAGAGAUUCCCCUGUCCAUCUUCCCCUCCCCUCCCCCCUCCAGAUUAUCACCAACUAUGGGAUGUCUUCUUGGGAAGCAUCCAUACAUGUUUAAGAGGUGGAGGAUCUAUGUUCAUGCUUUGACUGUGCAAUGUUUAAUGAGUCCCUGCAUUAGAAUUUUAUUCCUUUAUUUUUAACGUGAAUGGAAGCUUUUAUUUCCAGCAAAUAAUUACUGCUCUUUGAUAGAUUAAAGGGCCCUUUACUAGGGCCCUCUGCUACCCUGUAUUUUCUAUCCAUGAAAUAAUUCAUAGCACAAUUGGGUCAUUGCCAACAGUUGUCAACAUUUCAUCUACUCCAAUGCACGGAUUUCUUCUGAGGAGACAAAGUGGCAAGGAUGUAUAUAUAUUGGCUAAAAAUCUUAGCAUUUACCUGCUGGAUGCAUUUUGUACUCAUGAUAGAUCAGCCAAACUGAAACAAGAGCUGGCAGCAAAUUCUGUGAUAGCCUAAAGGCUGAGAGUUUACCAUUUUCACAACGUUCCCCAGUCUUUAACAGAGGCAGAAUUAAUGUUCCAUUUUUCAGACGUUUUGAGCCACUUGCAGGUGUGUAUGCCUAUAACUGAGGAUGCAAUAUAUAAUCCAUUUAAAGUGUCCUGAAAACUUCAGUACAAACAUUCAAAGAAGGAGGGUUAAAAAAAGGGGGUCCAAUUCCUGAAGAACGUACAAAUAUGAUUGUAAAACUCCCAGUUAGUGCGGCUCUUUUCACUAAUAACUUGGAGAUUAAAGCCUCAAUUAAUUAUCUGCAUUUCACAGUCAGAAGCUUGACUAAUACUCCAUGCUGCCAAGCAGCAAUCUAAUGCUAUUAAGGACAAAAUAUUAGAAUGUGGAGAGGCUUAAGAUGGCACCCUCUUUUCAGUCUGAGAUUUGUACGUACUGAAACUGGAAAACCCCAGAAGGAGGGCACAGAAGGAACAGAAUGUGAGCUGCUGGUUCCCUGGAGACAAGGACAAGAGCCUGAAAUUCCUCAGAAGAUUAUUAUCAAGCUUGCUGAGUUCAGGAUUUUUCUCAAAUCUGGAACUGUUAAAGGGACUCGCACAGGAUUCCUUCACUUCUUUUCAUUAGACCACAAGCAAUAAUCAAAAAAAAUCAACCAAAGCAUCCAGACAAGGCACUGUGCAAAAAGCAACAGUGAAAUUUACAUUUUCAGCAUGUAGAUCCCUCCUCAUCUUUCCAGGGCAGGCACAUUAGCUAUUCAGCAUGAUGCAAACAUUAACAUGUGCAUACGCUACACCAGCUUCAGAAUGCAAAGGGAAGGAAGGAAAGGAAAACAUGCUGUAAGUGAAAGCCCAAGUAAAACAAACUGCUUUUUUUCUCCAACAUCUGCAACAAUUGUCCUCCUCAGACCCACCUUGCCUCACCAAAACAGUAAACCACCUAUCUACCACAAGUGCUACAGGUCUCCUUUUUCCUGGCUGGGACGACUCACAUGCUUCCAAAAGCAAAAUACACGCUCACAGUCCUGGUUUUUGACUGUAGCGGAUUGAUAAAAUACUUAUUAAAAAUGGCUGAAAAAAUGAGAUUUUAAGGUAUUUGCCUUCUCUUUCACCUGGUGAAACAUUUUUAUGUUUUGACUGUAGAAGUCAAGCACGUUACGCGUGAUGGAACGCAGCCCACAGAUAGAACACAUCUGCAGCAUCCUUGCAGGGCUCAGCCAGCGAGCUUCAACUCCAACCAAUAUUACUUGACAAGGAAAUGGGCUUCAUGGAGCACAAGGAAACGCUCCCCUGCCAGGCUGAAAGCAGUCUGGGUAUGAAACACCUGGUACCCAAGGAUCAGCUGGGGCCUGGAAACAGAAGUCUAGCUUCAAUUCAGUUUUGUCUCUAUCAAACCAAAACACAUGGUAGCAUGGGAUUCAGACGGCUGCUCACUGGUUUCUCACAAUAUUUGGACAUUUUUAUAAAUGAAAACAUAGACUUUAAGAAACUGAACAGAUGGAGCUACCAAGUUAAAAGGAGAAUUUCAGAGGAUGCUUAAGAAAGAAAAUUGUAAUGUUGUGUUUCUGGAGGAAACCCAUUUAUCAUGAUUGCAGCACAUAAAUUGCAGCAGAAAGCCCUGCCUUUCUCUAUUUCACUGCCUCUAUGGGCAAAGACAAAAUGGUUUGCGAAAGAUUUCCAGUGGAUAUUAAGUGCCUUGAACUUGAUGAGCAGAGUUUAUUUCACUUUGCAGUUGAUAAUUACAAUAUCGCCACUCGGUAAUUAAGGUUCUGUCGGCCUUUGCACACCGAGUCUUAUUCAGGGGAUUAAAUCAGCCAUUUGAAACUGCAGCGGGUCAGAGCUCAGCACCACAACUGUCACCCUGGUGACAGUUUUUUUUUCCUCCAAAUGUGUGUAUUGAUGAGUGCACUCCUUCCACCAUCAGAUCUCAUAAACAGAGAUGUUCUGCCCUCUUGGAAGCGGUGCAGAAACGCUCUGUCAUUUCAGAUCAGUGCCGGACCUGCUGCAAGGAGCCAACAUCAUCUCCCAGAAGAGAAGAGAGAAACUCCUGUGGUGCUGAUUGCAAGAAUGGAGAAACACCAUUUGCCAGGCUGUAAGUGGACACCAAGAUGCAGACUGAGGUGCCAACACCGUCUUAUUAAAAAACAAAUUAUACGGUGCGUAUAGGUGAGGAGGGAAAGAAAACCUCACUCAGAUGGGAGUUUUGUUACUCACAAGCACUGAGACCAACUGUAUAAAUAAAUAUAAGCACAAAAACACA